CCUACGGGGGGCAGCAGUGAGGAAUAUUGGUCAAUGGCCGUAAGGCUGAACCAGCCAAGUAGCGUGAGGGAAGACUGCCCUAUGGGUUGUAAACCUCUUUUAUGCGGGGAUAAAGGUGUCCACGUGUGGAUGUUUGCAGGUACCGCAUGAAUAAGGACCGGCUAAUUCCGUGCCAGCAGCCGCGGUAAUACGGAAGGUCCGGGCGUUAUCCGGAUUUAUUGGGUUUAAAGGGAGCGUAGGCCGGUCUUUAGGCGUGCCGUGAAAUUUUGUGGCUCAACCAUGGGAGUGCGGCGCGAAAUGGAGACCUUGAGGGCGCGGAAGGCAGGCGGAAUGCGUGGUGUAGCGGUGAAAUGCUUAGAUAUCACGCAGAACCCCGAUUGCGAAGGCAGCCUGCCAAGCCAUGACUGACGCGGAUGCACGAAAGCGUGGGGAUCAAACAGGAUUAGAUACCCGGGUAGUC
rnacentral:rRNA from 1 species